CUGUGCUCACACAGCUCCGCGAGACGGCCGCCCAAACAAAGCUACCUCCGUGGGCCUUGGCCGGCUGACAAGAGGAAGAGAAGGAGAUUACUCUAAGCUCCAGGUAUUCUGGUGAGCUGGAAGCUGGCCGGGAGGGCCAGGCGCCAGUGACACCUCCAGCCAGCAGGCCCAUGUGGAGGCCCCAUCCCGAGAGCGUGCCCGGGGCGAGGCGUGUCCGGCCACCACCGACCACCAGCCGCCCAGGAGGCAGAGGUGACCGGAGAGGGGGCUGCUCGGUUCAGGGAGGAGCCCAGCCCCCAACGCAGGGCACGGAUGGAAUCUCUCAAGGUUCCCUGGGCAUCCUGCCCACCCAAGCUGACUGCUAAGGUCAUCGAUACGGAGCAGGAGCCCAGGCCUAGAGUGUCCAGGCCAAGUGACCACCAUGAGUGCCUGAGAGGCCGGACGUGCAGGCUGGCUCCUGGCUUCUCACCUGAGCCUCCCCAGCCCCUUGCCUCCACGUCUGAGAAUGCCCGGCGCCCCAGCAUGGCCUUGGGGAGGCGGCGGUGCUGAGUGCAUGGGGCCGAGAGGAUGGCUCUGGGCCAGUCGGGUGCUGGGACAGUGGCUGGCAGGGGACCCAUUUGGAGAAGAGCCCACUGCUCUGAGCAGCUCCAGCUGCAGCUCCCACCGCCCUCUUGUGAGGGCCUGCCUGGGCCCGUGUCCAAAUCCCAGCACCACAGGCCACAUGGCCGGCAGGUCUCACGGGGUGAGCACAGCAGAGGCCGCUUUUACACAGGGACCCCUGGGGCCCCCUCCAAGGGCUGCUGCCUGAGAGGGAGCGUGGCCCACGGAGACCCCCUGGACUUGGCCUCUGGGGCCCACCUGGUGGUUUCUGAGGGUGCUGCCAGGCCAGAAGCUCAAAUCCUGCUGGCUGCGCUGUCCUGAGGCCACAGCCAACACCCACUCCUGCCUCCAGCCCGCUGUCCCUUCCCACUGUUAGCGGGGCCUGGGGGAUGAAGGAAGACCACCACAGUGCGGUGGGAGAGAGAAAGCCCUCGGCUUCAUCCUGGGUGUGUUGUGGAGAUGCAGACGGGUCCGAGGUCAGACGAGGGUACUGGACUUGCCGAGGUGUCCACACUCAAAGGGAGCGUCUGGAGCGGGGGGCGGCGUGAGGAGUUCAGGGGCUUCCCGGGAGCAGUUCCAGCUGACAGAGCUCCAUGGAAAUCAGACAUGACCUUGGGGACCGCCGACCUGUGGGGUGUGCACCAGAACCCCACACUGUGGGAGCCCAGCCUUCCUCUCACUGGGUGGCAGUGGCUGGGCUCACACAGACCACAGCAGUGUCCAGCUCCCCUGUCAAGGAGAGACUCCUCCUCAGGGUGGGCUGCGGGACCAGCGCCAGCGGUGAUGGGGUCCAUCCUCACCGUCUCCUGAAGGGCCCGGCCUGGCCUGAGACUUCGAUCUCGGUGAUGACAGCCACCAGCUGGAUGAACUGGCCCCGCGUCCUUCCUACUCCUCAUCUCCCUUCUCUUGCUGGGACUUCACGAGAGAGCCCGAGUUACUGAGUCAACAGGAAGUAGAAGAGACUCCCACGCAGCUCAGGCCCCCGUGGCAGGACCAGGAAGGAGGGAGAGGUGGCGCGUUGCCUGGGUGCUCAUGGACACCAGGUCUGCUCCCCAUGCACUUGUCGUCUGUGCCACGCUGCAGGGGCCAGGCAGCCACAGGCAUCGUUUGGGCCCCGAGCUGGCCAGGCUGGAGUCAGGGCCCACUAAGCCGCAGGUGCCUCUUGCUUGGGGGUGGGGGCUGAAGGGUGUCUUCCUGCCGUGGAGCUAUAGCUGGUGCCUGGUUCCCUCUGUCCAGACACAGCUCUGGGCUUGCAGCCUCUGCCUCCCUGAUGGGACAGCAACCCUGGGCAUCGCUAGAGGCUCUGAGGUCUGCACGGGGCACCAUCCCGUAUUCUGCAGGGUCCAGAGACACAGAGAGGGAGGCCAGCCCAGCACCAUUGUGGGAGAAAGGCCAGUGAUGUCAUCAGGGGGCUAAGGCUGGCAGCCACCUUCUAGUGGACAUUACUGCUGAGAACUGGCCAGGUGCCUGCACUCGCUGCCAUGAGUAAUUGCCCAGUGGCCCGUGAGGUGCUGGCAGCUCCUCCAUUUACAAGUUAGGAGACAGGUACAGAGAGACCAGGUGGCCUGUUCCAGCAGCACUGCUCUGGCUCUUGACCACCACCACAUCAGCAGCAAAACCGCCAGGGCUGAAAUCAAUACAGAUUUAUCCAUUCUCACCAGGCUGCGGGCGCCUUGCAGGUCUGUGCUCCUAGCUGGGGGCCCAGAGAGACUCUGCUUCCAGGACUGCCCGAGUGUGGAAGGAACCCAGCUGCCAGCUGCAGGACUGAGGUCCCAUCUCCUCCCUGGCCUCGCACAGGCCCUCCUGCCUGCCAAGCAGCAAGUGAUGCCGCACCUCAGUCUCUCCCUCUGCUCUCCAGUUCCCUGGACCCCCAGCCCAAGCUCCGGUGAUUACCAGGUAAUUCCUGUCCCAAGACAGCCGCGCCGAGUGUCCUAACACAGUUGCCACACGGCUCCAUGUCCUGUGCACAGGCCAGGGGUUCGAGUGGGCAUCAGCAAUGCUCACUUCAGAGCCCCUCCGCCACGACGUGGCCAUGUGCACACAGCUCCGUGGCCAGCGCUGGAAACUGCGUCUCCUGCCUCCAGCUGCGUUACUUGGAGAAGCAGGAACCUCUCCAUCCUCACUUUCCAUCCGCACAUCCAGGGCCGCCCACGUGCACCCACACCGUGCGCUCACUGUGUGGCCUGUCGAGAACACAGUGUCCUCUGCCCCUGAUUUCCCAGGAGAGUCGCACGUCUGUGAUGGUGGUCUCCCAGGCACGCAUGGCCAUGGAGCACGGGAACGUGUGCGCCUGCUGGGAGCACAUGGGAAGACUGCACGCCGGGUGCUGAGGCUUCCUGUGAAAAAAAGAACCUGAAACAAGUACUAAUUUUUUACAUUGAUUACAGAUUUAAAUGAUAAUUUUUUUAUAGAUUGGGUUCAACAAAAUAUUAAAACUAAUGACACUUAUUGGCCGGGCGCGGUGGCUCACGCCUGUAAUCCCAGCACUUUGGGAGGCUGAGACGGGCGGAUCAUGAGGUCAGGAGUUUGAGACCAUCCUGGCUAACAAGAUGAAACCCUGUCUCUACUAAAAAUACAAAAAACUAGGCGGGCAUGGUGGCGGGUGCCUGUAGUCCCAGCUACUCGGGAGGCUGAGGCAGGAGAAUGGCGUGAACCCGGGAGGCGGAGCUUGCAGUGAACCGGGAUCGUGCCACUGCACUCCAGCCUGGGGACAGAGUGAGAUUCUGUCUUUAAAAAAAAAAAAAAAAAA
ensembl:lncRNA novel transcript